GUUGGUUUCUAACCUAGUGGUUACACAGAGAUGUGUAUACAAUGGGUGGGAGUUACUGGAUACCAUUGUCAAGGCAUUCCACCCCAUAGGCCAAGAUGAGGCCCUUGGGUCGCAUUCUAAACAUUCAGGAAACAAUUGAACCGCUUUAUGCCACAGGAUGACAAUAUCUGAAUUUCCACCCAUUUCAACCCCCUCAUGACGCCGACCUGAAAAUGAAGCCAAGUUGGAAGUGACUGUUCCGACGUCACACUGCUGGGACCCAGGCCUGCUUUCAGUGGUGUUCUGUGCUACGUCUCACCCCUUCUUGUAAUUCUUCCACCUCUAAGUUUGUGACUUAACACAUGUGGCACCAGGCCACAGGGGUUAUAGAAGAUAUUAUCUUAUAUAUACACCUGAUGAUCCCUGGGAAGUAGAUUCUGGCCUGAUCCCCACUGUGGGGGUUUGGAGACUGGGGAGGACCUGAGGCACAGUCACUUUCUGAGGACACAAAACUGAUAUGGAUGCAUCUUGCCAUAUUCCAUCCAGGGUGACCGACUACAGGACCAUCUAAGAAUUGCCCUCUCUCUCUUCCUGGGCACCUGACUAGAACAGUACCUGCAGAAUUCCUGGUGGCCCCUGCACUGUCCCCUCUUCAAGCUAAAGGAGCUGUAUGUGUAGGUCACCUUGCCUGGCUCGGACCUGGAUUGCUGUGACCCUCUUCUGGUGGUCCACUUGGAGCUUCCAGAUAUCACUGAGGCAGAGCCACAGGUGCCAGCUCCAGGUCUCCAGGCAGCUGCAGAACCACAACAGUGGCCAGGUCUGGAGGUAGAGCCAGCUCCAGCUCCAGCUCCAGCUCCAUUGAUACCAUCACCUAUAGUGUCGGAGCCAGCAUCCCUGCCAUCAGCAGUGUUGAAGCUGGAGCAAGGACCAGCAUCAGCUCCAGUGGGAGUGGCAGCUCCUGAGCUGGAGUCACCUGGACCACCAGGUCUAAUGGGAAUUCCAUCACCAGCUCCAAAGAUAGAGCCGGCUUGAAACCCAGAGCCUUCCUGCCCCAGGCCUGUGGCCAGUAAGAACCCACCAAGUGAGGAGAAGCUCAACCUCAGGGCCUUCCCUCCUAAGCUGCUGGCGGAGUAAUGAUCAUGAUGAUUGCGGUGAGCAGCUGGUCUCUCAGGGUGGGGUGGGGCAGGCCUUCCCUCUGCCAUCAUUGCCCCAGAUCUGGUCCAGACUCCUAUGAUCUGGGCCCAAAUCCCAGCUCCACCCAUGACUAACCAUAC
rnacentral:lncRNA from 1 species